rnacentral:rRNA from 1 species
AUGGGAGUUUACCUUAGUACCCCCAAAACUGAGAAGCUAUCUGAAGAUGGGGAAAAUGAUAAGCUUAAAUUUGGACUUUCAUCUAUGCAAGGGUGGCGUGCGAGUAUGGAAGAUGCUCAUUCAGCCUUGCUAGAUAUCGAUGAGGACACAUCGUUCUUCGGUGUUUUUGAUGGACAUGGAGGAAAAGUGGUUGCCAAAUUCUGUGCAAAAUAUCUACACAGGGAAGUUCUCAAAAGUGAAGUUUAUUUAGCUGGUGACCUGGGAGCUGCUGUCCAUGGAGCUUUCUUCAGAAUGGAUGAGAUGAUGCGGGGUCAAAGAGGCUGGCGAGAACUACAGGCACUUGGAGAUAAAAUAAACCAGUUUACUGGCAUGAUAGAGGGGCUGAUCUGGUCUCCGAGAGGCAGUGAUUCAAAUGAUCGACAUGAUGAUUGGGCUUUUGAGGAGGGACCUCACUCUGAUUUUAGCGGGCCAACCUGUGGGAGUACAGCCUGUGUUGCAAUGUUAAGGAAUAGUCAACUUGUUGUGGCAAACGCCGGAGAUUCCCGCUGUGUUAUCUCAAGGAAUGGCCAGGCAUACAAUUUAUCAAGAGAUCACAAACCAGAGCUUGAAGCAGAGAGAGAACGGAUAUUGAAAGCAGGGGGUUACAUCCAAAUGGGGCGAGUAAAUGGAACUAUAAACUUGUCAAGGGCAAUUGGAGAUAUGGAAUUUAAACAGAAUAAAUUCUUGUCUCCUGAUAAGCAAAUGUUGACAGCAAACCCUGACGUAAACACUGUCGAGCUUUGUGAUGAUGAUGACUUUCUUGUUUUAGCAUGUGAUGGCAUUUGGGACUGCAUGUCGAGCCAACAGCUGGUCGAUUUCAUCCAUGAGCACCUAAAGACAGAGAGCAGCCUUUCUGCAGUGUGUGAAAAGGUGCUCGAUAGAUGCCUGGCUCCAUCAACAUUAGGUGGAGAAGGAUGCGACAACAUGACGAUGAUCCUAGUGCAGUUCAAGAAGCCAAUUGACCAUGGCAAGAAUGCCGGUGGUGGUGAACAAUCAGCUGUUGGGGAUAAGAAUGUAAGUGCUGGUGAACAAUCAGCGGUCGCGGAUAAGAGUGCUAGUGCUAGUGAUCAAUCAGCUGUCGAGGACAAGAAUGCUAGUGUGGUGGACAAUCAGCUGUCGGGACAAGAAUGCUACGCGACCGAGGAGAAGAACUCGUGA